CCUACGGGUGGCAGCAGUGAGGAAUAUUGGUCAAUGGGCGGGCGCCUGAACCAGCCAAGUCGCGUGAGGGAUGACGGCCCUAUGGGUUGUAAACCUCUUUUGCCGGGGAGCAAAGUGCCGCCCGUGUGCGGUUUGGAGCGUACCCGGAGAAAAAGCAUCGGCUAACGCCGUGCCAGCAGACGCGGUAAUACGGAGGAUGCGAGCGUUAGCCGGGUAUAUUGGGUUUAAAGGGUGCUGAGGCGGACGCUUAAGUCAGCGGUAAGAUUGCGGGGCUCAACCUCGUCGAGCCGUUGAAACUGGGUGCCUUGAGUGGGCGAGAAGUACGCGGAAUGCGUGGUGUAGCGGUGAAAUGCAUAGAUAUCACGCAGAACUCCGAUUGCGAAGGCAGCGUACCGGCGCCCAACUGACGCUGAAGCACGAAGGCGUGGGUAUCGAACAGGAUUAGAUACCCUGGUAGUC
rnacentral:rRNA from 1 species